UGGAGAGUUUGAUCCUGGCUCAGGAUGAACGCUGGCGGCGUGCCUAAUACAUGCAAGUCGAGCGAACGGACGAGAAGCUUGCUUCUCUGAUGUUAGCGGCGGACGGGUGAGUAACACGUGGAUAACCUACCUAUAAGACUGGGAUAACUUCGGGAAACCGGAGCUAAUACCGGAUAAUAUUUUGAACCGCAUGGUUCAAAAGUGAAAGACGGUCUUACUGUCACUUAUAGAUGGAUCCGCGCUGCAUUAGCUAGUUGGUAAGGUAACGGCUUACCAAGGCAACGAUGCAUAGCCGACCUGAGAGGGUGAUCGGCCACACUGGAACUGAGACACGGUCCAGACUCCUACGGGAGGCAGCAGUAGGGAAUCUUCCGCAAUGGGCGAAAGCCUGACGGAGCAACGCCGCGUGAGUGAUGAAGGUCUUCGGAUCGUAAAACUCUGUUAUUAGGGAAGAACAUAUGUGUAAGUAACUGUGCACAUCUUGACGGUACCUAAUCAGAAAGCCACGGCUAACUACGUGCCAGCAGCCGCGGUAAUACGUAGGUGGCAAGCGUUAUCCGGAAUUAUUGGGCGUAAAGCGCGCGUAGGCGGUUUUUUAAGUCUGAUGUGAAAGCCCACGGCUCAACCGUGGAGGGUCAUUGGAAACUGGAAAACUUGAGUGCAGAAGAGGAAAGUGGAAUUCCAUGUGUAGCGGUGAAAUGCGCAGAGAUAUGGAGGAACACCAGUGGCGAAGGCGACUUUCUGGUCUGUAACUGACGCUGAUGUGCGAAAGCGUGGGGAUCAAACAGGAUUAGAUACCCUGGUAGUCCACGCCGUAAACGAUGAGUGCUAAGUGUUAGGGGGUUUCCGCCCCUUAGUGCUGCAGCUAACGCAUUAAGCACUCCGCCUGGGGAGUACGACCGCAAGGUUGAAACUCAAAGGAAUUGACGGGGACCCGCACAAGCGGUGGAGCAUGUGGUUUAAUUCGAAGCAACGCGAAGAACCUUACCAAAUCUUGACAUCCUUUGACAACUCUAGAGAUAGAGCUUUCCCCUUCGGGGGACAAAGUGACAGGUGGUGCAUGGUUGUCGUCAGCUCGUGUCGUGAGAUGUUGGGUUAAGUCCCGCAACGAGCGCAACCCUUAAGCUUAGUUGCCAUCAUUAAGUUGGGCACUCUAAGUUGACUGCCGGUGACAAACCGGAGGAAGGUGGGGAUGACGUCAAAUCAUCAUGCCCCUUAUGAUUUGGGCUACACACGUGCUACAAUGGACAAUACAAAGGGCAGCGAAACCGCGAGGUCAAGCAAAUCCCAUAAAGUUGUUCUCAGUUCGGAUUGUAGUCUGCAACUCGACUACAUGAAGCUGGAAUCGCUAGUAAUCGUAGAUCAGCAUGCUACGGUGAAUACGUUCCCGGGUCUUGUACACACCGCCCGUCACACCACGAGAGUUUGUAACACCCGAAGCCGGUGGAGUAACCUUUUAGGAGCUAGCCGUCGAAGGUGGGACAAAUGAUUGGGGUGAAGUCGUAACAAGGUAGCCGUAUCGGAAGGUGCGGCUGGAUCACCUCCUUUCU
rnacentral:rRNA from 1 species